UACGUAGGGUGCGAGCGUUAAUCGGAAUUACUGGGCGUAAAGUGUGCGCAGGCGGCCGGGCAAGUCGAGUGUGAAAGCCCCGAGCUUAACUUGGGAAUUGCGCUCGAAACUACUUGGCUGGAGUGUGGCAGAGGAAGGUGGAAUUCCAGGUGUAGCGGUGAAAUGCGUAGAGAUCUGGAGGAACACCGAUGGCGAAGGCAGCCUUCUGGGCCAACACUGACGCUCAUGCACGAAAGCGUGGGGAGCAAACAGG
rnacentral:rRNA from 1 species